UGUGUAACUCCGCCUGGAGCCCCUCUGGGACUACUGCCGGUCCCAAGCCCGGAUAAAGGAGGAGGGUUGUACA
rnacentral:ribozyme from 2 species